rnacentral:tRNA from 1 species
AGAUAGCUUAAUGGUAAAGCACCCAACCGGCAAUUAAGGGAUCUGGGUUCAAGUCCCGGUCU